GCUGUAGCUCAAUUGCUGAGUAUCUGCAUUGCAUGCAGAAUAUCCCAGGUUCAAUCCCCGGCAUCUCCA